ACAAGUACCGUGAGGGAAAGUUGCAAAGCACUUUGAAGAGAGAGUUAAAGAGGACGUGAAACCGGUAAGGUGGAAACGGAUAGAGUCGGCGUAUCAUUCAUGUAUUCAGUUAUAUUAUUUUUAUGUUGUGACCUCUGAGCUCCAGAUUGGGACAGAGGGAAUCAGCAUAAUUUUUUGUGGUGCUUUUACUUGAUUGGUGCUUGGGGAUGUUUGAGGCAGAUUUGUUUCCGUCGUUUUGAGGCCAGCUUGCUGGUACCCAAACGGUGUUAGCAUUUUUUGUCUUGGGCAUUUGAGUAUGGCUCACGUGUAUUUAUUGGACAGAUCUGAGUGUAAGUUACGGUCGCAUGCGACACGUGCUUUUCAAUUAGUUCGGUCCAGUUAAUGCUCUCGUAGACGUUCCCCAUGUAAAAGCCGGUCAUCUAUCCGACCCGUCUUGAAACACGGACCAAGGAGUUUAUCGUGUGCGCAAGUUUUUGGGUGUUAAAAACUUAAAAGCGAAAUGAAAGUAAAUGACUCUUUAGAGUCUGAUGUGCGAUCUUGUAAAAAAGUGUAGCAUGGCCCCAUUCUAACUGUUUACAGUAGGGUGGCGGAAGAGCGUACGCGGUGAGACCCGAAAGAUGGUGAACUAUUCCUGAGCAGGACGAAGCCAGAGGAAACUCUGGUGGAAGUCCGAAGCGGUUCUGACGUGCAAAUCGAUCGUCUGACUUGGGUAUAGGGGGCGAAAGACUAAUCGAACCAUCUAGUAGCUGGUUCCUUCCGA
rnacentral:rRNA from 1 species